rnacentral:rRNA from 1 species
AUUAGAUACCCUGGUAGUCCACGCAGUAAACGAUGGAUGCUAGCUGUCCGGGGCGAAUGAGUUCUGGGUGGCACAGCGAAAGCGUUAAGCAUCCCACCUGGGGAGUACGCCGGCAACGGUGAAACUCAAAGGAAUUGACGGGGGCCCGCACAAGCGGAGGAACAUGUGGUUUAAUUCGAUGAUACGCGAGGAACCUUACCCGGGCUCAAACGGCACAGUGAUACUUUUGAAAGGAGGUAGCUCUACGGAGACUGUGCCGAGGUGCUGCAUGGUUGUCGUCAGCUCGUGCCGUGAGGUGUCGGCUUAAGUGCCAUAACGAGCGCAACCCCUAUUGUCAGUUGCCAGCAGGUAAAGCUGGGGACUCUGACGAGACUGCCGGCGCAAGCUGAGAGGAAGGCGGGGAUGACGUCAAAUCAGCACGGCCCUUACGUCCGGGGCGACACACGUGUUACAAUGGCAGGCACAGCGGGAAGCCACCCGGCGACGGGGAGCGGAACCCGAAAGCCUGUCUCAGUUCGGAUCGGAGUCUGCAACUCGACUCCGUGAAGCUGGAUUCGCUAGUAAUCGCGCAUCAGCCAUGGCGCGGUGAAUACGUUCCCGGGCCUUGUACACACCGCCCGUCAAGCCAUGGAAGCCGGGAGCGCCUGAAGCGCGUGACCGCGAGGAGCGCGCUAAGGUGAUACCGGUGACUGGGGCUAAGUCGUAACAAGGUAACAAGGGC